rnacentral:rRNA from 1 species
CACCGCGGUUAUACGAAAGACCCAAGCUGACAGGAACCGGCGUAAAGAGUGGUUAGGCAUAAAACCAACUAAGGUUGAACAUCUUCUUAGCCGUUUAACGCAUUUGAAGACAAGAAACACCAUCACGAAAGUAACCUUAAAUAUCUGACUCCACGAAAGCUAUGGAA